CAGUAAAAAGGAACAGCUGCCCGUCAUUUGUUAUUAGCUGGAGCUAUUUACAGGAGGUGAAGAUUUAGAGGAAGAUAAAAAGUUACAUGAAAGGAUCUGUAAACAACCCAAAAAUAGAGAUGAUCAUCACUUCAGAUUAUAGGUUAUAGAAAUUAGAGCAAGUGAGGUACGAGCAUUGAUGUUGGCAGAGUUCCUUGCAGCUUAAACAUAGAGUCGUUGGUAACAGAUAACAAGAGCAUCCGACAAUAGGAUUGCAAAGAAAAUGAGACAGCACCAG
rnacentral:lncRNA from 1 species